CGUCCCUGCUCAGGGGUCAAGGCGAGGAGCUGGGCCCAGCGAGGAGAGAGGAGGGGUUUUCAGCAGCAGAGCAAAGUCAUGCGCCUCGCCCUACUGUUGGAGGGAGCAGAGUGCCGGAGUAGUGUCCCACUGUGACAGAAUGAAGCUGUAGACCAAGGAGGUAUGAUCUUGAUGCUUCUGCCUUCCACAAACCUAAAGUGAUGAAACUAGCCCACCAUGGACUGACGACUAUGAAACCGUGAACCACAUAAGCUGUUCUUCCUUUAAGUAGAUUAUCAUGCGUAUUUUGUCUCGGUGACAAAAAGCUGGUCAAGACACUUAAUUACAUCAAAAAAAACGUUAACACAGGACUUGGAGAGGAACAUGGUGAAUUUUAUCCUGAUAACUAAGGACCAAAAAAGAAAGACAAAGGAAACAAGGUGAGGGGAGAAAGGGAGACACACCUGAAUGCAGUGAGAACGCCUGAUCAUGUUAAUGAAGACCUUAGGACUUCAUCAAUGAGACAUGAGACCACAGCUUUCGAUGUCAUAACUUUGUAAAA